UCAGUAAGUGCUACUCAUUUUCUGUCCAUAAAGAAUUUUACAACUACAAUUAAAUGGUUUCUUCAACUUUAUUUGACAUUUAUUGUGAUCAUUUCAUAGCGCCCUAUGAAACUAAAUUGGACCAUUAUAGGAUUAUUAUUAAAUUGUGUUGGCAACAUUAAAGUAAUCACCUGAUAAUAGAACAAGCUUGAACGUCAGAAACUGAGUCCGGUCCGCGUGAGUGCGCACUGAAACCCUCUUACCUGUUGAAACACCUGUGAGUGAGCGAAAAGCUACAAGUGUUUAUAAAGUAAAUCAAUCCUCAGCCACAAAUUGUUUUUGGCAACUGGAAUAUACUGCAUGUUACCAUUUACACAAAACCGUCACAGAUAUUUCAUCAAAGACAGACUAUACAUUUGCACGUUUAUUUAUUUACUCUUUGUCUUUCCUCUUGUGUGGCACAAUUAAAUGAAACAUGUACUAUUUUACUUUAAAAAGACUGAUGGAAAUCUAAUGCUGGAGAAGACAAAUGUUUCUGAAAUGUAUGUAUGUUUUAAAAAAGGGAUGAAGGACGUUUGUACAGCUGUGAAUCUUAUUUGACCGUUUCUGUCGCCUCCUCCACGCUCCUCCAUCCAUCCCGGUGAUGUAGUAUUAUGUUUAUUUUUGUAUGUACACGAUGUCUGAUGGCUUUGAACGUGCGUGUUUGUCUGCAUGUGCAUCUGGUUUACACAUCAGCGCUCCAGCGUCAUGACCUUGACCUGGUGAAACUGUGUGUGUGUGUGUGUGUUUAACAUGUUUCAUUGUUAUAUUUGCAGCAGUCUGAUGUCACUCGAGGUGAAGUUGUUCAGGUCGUAAGAGUGUAGAGGUCAGAGUGAGAGUGGAGACGCCGCUGCAGCCCGAGGACCAGUCCACACACAUAGUAGGUGACAGUUCUGAGGAAGGUAGAAGAUACAUGACGAAACUUGUCAACAAGGAUGUCAUCAGCAACACCACCUUCAUGCCAGCUCCUCUGCGUCUCCACCCCGCUGUGCCAGUUCCUCCGCGCUGCCGCCGCCACUGGAGUUCACGACCUCUCAGGGUUCACGUUGGGACGAGGUCCCUUCCUGAGGGAGGAGAGGUAACUGUGCUGAGGCGUCACGUGACUUCAGAGAGCAAAAGGAAGAAGUGGUGAUAGCCUCUCAAAUUAACGACUGGUUGGAUGAUUAACUCUUUACUGCCCCCACAGUUUCCUGGUGCUAUUACUCUGUUUCGUCCGUCAUUAUGGACGGACUGGGACAUGGAUACCCUUCUCCUGGACUCUCCUGACUCCCACCCACACGUUAACAUGUGUUUCACAUUCAGAGCGGAGGGAGAUGUUGCAGAGCGACGGCCAAGCGCUCCGUGUGACUGGCAGCUCCGCGCUCUCACACUCGCUCUGUCUCAUGAACUUUACACCACACCAUUAUGUCUCUCUGAGUGAGCAUUAUUAUUACUAUUAUUAUCAUCAUUAUUAUUAUUAUAAUAUCUUUUAUGAGAAUGUUCAAAACUCUUGAUAAAAAAAAAAAGAGUAGAAGAAUGAGGUCAAGUUUCAUUCUUUCUCUUCACAGCUGAGGCUCAUUGGUUCAAAACCUGCUGGAAAUUAUGAAAAUUAAUCCGCUGAAUUUUGUUUGUUUUCUUAAAUCGGGUUCAACUAUUUGUUCAAACGAUGUAAUAUGUUGUUUUUUUAAAGACACAGUAUGUAAUCCGUGCCGCCCGGAGUCUCUUUAGUCAAAACAAUAACAAAAGUUUGAUGACAUCAGGAAACAGCGAGGCAUCAUGGGAAAUUUUGUUUUACUAAUCCAUGAGUGACAAACAUCUGCAGGGUUCCCAAAGGUCCUUGAAAGUUUGUGAAUUUGAAAAAAAAAAGUUCACAUCCCCUAAAAGUUUAUGAAAAUGGCCCCAAAUAGACAAGGAUCGUUGAAAGUGCUUGAAUUGUGUGCAAGAAAGAAGUGAAAUAGAAAUUUAGGUAAAUGUCUCCCAUCACUGAUGUGCCCUUCAAGGUUUCUGUGUGUCCUUGAAAUCCUUGAAAGUGUGUGCAUUUGAAAAAAUACAUUUCAAGAACCUUGAAAGUGUUCUAAAUGGUCGUACUAAGUAGUCAUGAGUCAUUGAAAGUGCUUGAAUUUGGUGCAAGAAAAGAAGUUCAGUUGAUGUUUAGGUGAAUGUUUCCUUUGGCUGUAAAUGACCUAUAUAAUUAGCUAUUGUCAUGACUGAUUUUGUGAUAUGUGUCCUAAUGUGUCCUUGGCUAUCUUUAAAAAGUGUGUCCUCAUAUAGAACAUUUGGGAAACAUUGAUUUUAUCAUGAGAAAUAAGGUGGGUUUUUUUUUUUUGCUUAAAAACACAAAGUGCAUUUUCUGUUGUUUAUAAUGUAUAAAUUCACAUUAUAAUACAACAAUUGUAUCGCGGCCUGUGUCUGUACGUGCAAGCGUCGUAGGGGGCAACUGCUGUUUGAUGGCGCUGGACGUGGCUGUGAGCGGAUGAGGAGCAGACACACACACACAAACAUAAAUACACACCACACGCACUUGAAAGAGAGAGUUGGAUAAAAGGCGAGACUGCGGCAGGAAACACAUGGCAUUCUACUGUACGAGGGCAGGUGGACACAAACAGGCGAGACGGGGGUCAGGGGUGGUGCUGCUGCUGCUCUGCACAAGACAAAAGGCGGCAGUGGUGGUGGUGGAGGGUUCAGUGGACGGUUUUGGUUCCGUCUUAGUUUGUCCAGCUGGAAGACAAGGAGACCCAGACAGAUUCCUGAUGUCACCCGCAGGACCCCGCCCUCCCCAGCUCUGCUACUUCCUGUCCCUGCAGCGGUGACGUCACAGCCUGCAGACCAGCUGGGGAUGUCACGUCCACCCCCUCUGUCCCCUCACUCAACUCAGCUUCAACCACUGGUGUCCAGCUGUGACCGCGGAGGCACGUACCAAAGGCAACGACAGAAAACACCAAAUAUUAGUCCA